GCCCCCAUCGUCUAGUGGGUCAGGACAUCUCUCUUUCAAGGAGGCAGCGGGGAUUCGACUUCCCCUGGGGGUA
rnacentral:tRNA from 1 species